CCUCCGAGACGGAUCCCGAGUACCGCGGGACACGAGAAACCCCGUGGGAAUCCGGCAGGACCAUCUGCCAAGGCUAAAUACUCCCUGGCGACCGAUAGUGAAGCAGUACCGUGAGGGAAAGGUGAAAAGCACCGCGGGAGCGGAGUGAAAAAGAACCUGAAACCGUGCGCUUACAAGAAGUCAGAGCCCGAUCUAGGGGUGAUGGCGUGCCUUUUGUAGAAUGAACCGGCGAGUUACGUUUACGUGCGAGGUUAAGUCGGAGAGACGGAGCCGCAGCGAAAGCGAGUCUGAAUAGGGCGCUUUAGUACGUAGUCGUAGACCCGAAACCGGGUGAUCUACCCCUGUGCAGGGUGAAGGUGAGGUAACACUUACUGGAGGCCCGAACUCGUGAGCGUUGAAAAGCUCUGGGAUGACGUGGGGGUAGGGGAGAAAUUCCAAUCGAACUCGGAGAUAGCUGGUUCUCCCCGAAAUAGCUUUAGGGCUAGCCUCGAGAUUUAGCAUCAUGGAGGUAGAGCACUGAUUGGGUGCGGGGCCCGCCAAGGGUUACCAAGUCCAGUCAAACUCCGAAUGCCAUGGAUGUAUGCUCGGGAGUCAGACGGCGAGUGCUAAGAUCCGUCGUCAAGAGGGAAAGAGCCCAGAUCAUCAGCUAAGGUCCCCAAGUGUGUGUUAAGUGGGAAAGGAUGUGGAGUUGCGAAGACAACCAGGAUGUUGGCUUAGAAGCAGCCACCAUUUAAAGAGUGCGUAAUAGCUCACUGGUCGAGUGACUCUGCGCCGAAAAUGUAACGGGGCUAAACACACCACCGAAGCUAUGGCAUGUACACUUUGUGUACUUGGGUAGGGGAGCGUUGAAUGCGGGUUGAAGUCGGACCGAGAGGACCGGUGGACUGCAUUCAAGUGAGAAUGCCGGUAUGAGUAACGAAAAGACAGGUGAGAAUCCUGUCCGCCGAAAGCCUAAGGGUUCCUGAGGAAGGUUCGUCCGCUCAGGGUAAGUCGGGACCUAAGGCGAGGCCGAAAGGCGUAGUCGAAGGACAACAGGUUGAAAUUCCUGUACCACCGUAAUCCGUUAUGAGCAAUGGGGGGACGCAGGAGGGCAAGAACGCGAGCUGAUGGAAUAGCUCGUCCAAGCAGUAAGGGGUGCAUGUAGGCAAAUCCGCAUGCUUUAACCUUGAGCUGUGAUGGGGAGGGAAAAUUACAGUACCGAAGGUUCCGUGCUCACGCUGCCGAGAAAAGCCUCUAGCCAGGAGAAGGUGCCCGUACCGCAAACCGACACAGGUAGGCGAGAAGAGAAUUCUAAGGCGCGCGGAAGAACUCUCGUUAAGGAACUCGGCAAAAUGACCCCGUAACUUCGGGAGAAGGGGUGCCUCGGUAGGGUGAAUAGCCCGAGGGGGCCGCAGUGAAUAGGCCCAAGCGACUGUUUAGCAAAAACACAGGUCUGUGCGAAGCCGUAAGGCGAAGUAUACGGGCUGACGCCUGCCCGGUGCUGGAAGGUUAAGGGGAGCGGUUAGGGGCAACCCGAAGCUGUGAACCGAAGCCCCAGUAAACGGCGGCCGUAACUAUAACGGUCCUAAGGUAGCGAAAUUCCUUGUCAGGUAAAUUCUGACCCGCACGAAUGGCGUAACGACUUGGGCGCUGUCUCAACGAGAGAUCCGGUGAAAUUUUAGUACCUGUGAAGAUGCAGGUUACCCGCGACGUGACGGAAAGACCCCAUGGAGCUUUACUGUAGCUUGAUAUUGAACUUGGGUACGGUCUGUACAGGAUAGGUGGGAGCCUAGGAAGUUGGAGCGCAAGCUUCAAUGGAGGCGCCGUUGGGAUACCACCCUGAUCGUAUCUAGGUUCUAACCUGUCACCGUGAAUCCGGUGAAGGGACCGUGUCAGGCGGACAGUUUGACUGGGGCGGUCGCCUCCUAAAGCGUAACGGAGGCGCCCCAAGGUUCCCUCAGAAUGGUUGGAAAUCAUUCGAAGAGUGCAAAGGCAUAAGGGAGCUUGACUGCGAGACCUACAAGUCGAGCAGGGACGAAAGUCGGGCUUAGUGAUCCGGUGGUACCGAAUGGAAGGGCCAUCGCUCAACGGAUAAAAGCUACCCUGGGGAUAACAGGCUUAUCUCCCCCAAGAGUCCACAUCGACGGGGAGGUUUGGCACCUCGAUGUCGGCUCAUCGCAUCCUGGGGCUGAAGUAGGUCCCAAGGGUUGGGCUGUUCGCCCAUUAAAGCGGUACGCGAGCUGGGUUCAGAACGUCGUGAGACAGUUCGGUCCCUAUCUGUCGCGGGCGUAGGAAAUUUGAGAGGGGCUGUCCUUAGUACGAGAGGACCGGGAUGGACGCACCGCUGGUGUACCAGUUGUUCCGCCAGGAGCAUCGCUGGGUAGCCAAGUGCGGGAGGGAUAAGCGCUGAAAGCAUCUAAGCGCGAAGCCCGCCUCAAGAUGAGAUUUCCCAGUAUGUAAGACCCCUUGGAGAACACGAGGUUGAUAGGCUCGGGGUGUAAGC
rnacentral:rRNA from 1 species